rnacentral:rRNA from 1 species
UACAGAGGUCUCAAGCGUUGUCCGGAUUUACUGGGCGUAAAGAGCGCGCAGGCGGUCGUUCAAGUCGAGUGUGAAAGCCCCCGGCUCAACUGGGGAGGGUCAUUCGAUACUGAUCGACUUGAAGGCAGGAGAGGGAAGUGGAAUUCCCGGUGUAGUGGUGAAAUGCGUAGAUAUCGGGAGGAACACCAGUGGCGAAGGCGACUUCCUGGCCUGUUCUUGACGCUGAGGCGCGAAAGCUAGGGGAGCAAACGGG